UACGAAGGGGGCUAGCGUUGUUCGGAAUCACUGGGCGUAAAGGGUGCGUAGGUGGCGUGGUAAGUCAGAUGUGAAAGCCCGGGGCUCAACCUCGGAAUUGCAUCCGAUACUGCCGUGCUAGAGUACUGAAGAGGUGACUAGAAUUCUCGGUGUAGCAGUGAAAUGCGUAGAUAUCGAGAGGAAUACCAACGGCGAAGGCAGGUCUCUGGGCAUCUACUGACGCUGAGGAGCGAAAGCAUGGGGGAGCGAACAGG
rnacentral:rRNA from 1 species